GAUGAACGCUGGCGGCGUGCCUAAUACAUGCAAGUCGAGCGAACAGACGAGGAGCUUGCUCCUCUGACGUUAGCGGCGGACGGGUGAGUAACACGUGGAUAACCUACCUAUAAGACUGGGAUAACUUCGGGAAACCGGAGCUAAUACCGGAUAAUAUAUUGAACCGCAUGGUUCAAUAGUGAAAGACGGUUUUGCUGUCACUUAUAGAUGGAUCCGCGCCGCAUUAGCUAGUUGGUAAGGUAACGGCUUACCAAGGCAACGAUGCUAAGCCGACCUGAGAGGGUGAUCGGCCACACUGGAACUGAGACACGGUCCAGACUCCUACGGGAGGCAGCAGUAGGGAAUCUUCCGCAAUGGGCGAAAGCCUGACGGAGCAACGCCGCGUGAGUGAUGAAGGUCUUCGGAUCGUAAAACUCUGUUAUUAGGGAAGAACAAAUGUGUAAGUAACUAUGCACGUCUUGACGGUACCUAAUCAGAAAGCCACGGCUAACUACGUG
rnacentral:rRNA from 1 species